rnacentral:rRNA from 1 species
AAUGAACGCUGGCGGUAUGCCUAACACAUGCAAGUCGAACGGCAGCACAGUAAUAUCUUGCUCUUACCGGUGGCCGGUCGCGUACGUGUGACGAAUGCAUCCGAAUCUUCUUUUUCGGAGGGCUUAAGGUAGGUAGACUUACUCUAAUACCGCAUACCACCUACCGUGGAAAGCAGUGGAUCGUCUGACCUGUCGCGAUUGGAUUCGCCGCUUUGGGAUUAGCUAGUGGGCGGGGGAAAGACCCACCAAGGCGACGAUCCGUAGCUGGUCUGAGAGGAUGGUCGGCCACACUGGAACGGAGACACGGUCAAGAGUACUACGGGAGGCAGCAGUGGGGAAUAUUGGACAAUGGGCGGAAGCCUGACCCAGUCAUCCCGAGUGGGUGAAGAAGGCCUUCGGGUUGUAAAGACCUUUUGUUGGGAAAGAAAAGCAGCAGGUUAAUACGAAGCUGUUGUGACGGUACCGAAAGAAUAAGCACCGGCUAACUACGUG